GGCAUUGUCAAAGGAAACUCACCUGGGAUCCUCUGUCUAACCAGAGCCCCAGCCACCAGGUGCUGAAAGCAGAGCAGCCCAUCAUCAGGAAGAAGAGGCACAGUACCAGGAAGGAGGCCAGGUCACGAUUCCUUCUCUGAGGGAUUCAAUCUGGACAAGUUGGUGCACGGGAGCUAUGGAGACAAACACAAGGCCAUGAGCUUCAUGGCCAGAGGUGGGCAAACAGUGAGCCCUGUGAGGGAUGCGGCUUGGAGUCUUCUGAGGAGUCGAUGGUGUUUGCUAUGUGCUUACCCUGGGAGUAUAUGACUGUGCUGGCUCCCAGAACUGGACAUUAAGCAGAAGACACAAAUGAGAAUGCAUUGAGAGCCCCCAAGCUCCAGUUGGGCUGUGUGCCCUGCUGUGAUGGGACAGGUGGAUGGGGGAACGUUGUACAUGGCCUCUUUUCUACCUCACAGAUGCCUGAUGGACAAAACCCCAUCCUGCUCUGCCUGGGAGCCCACAAAUGUCUUUGGAAUGUCCCGUUACCUUCUCAGGCUGCAAAAUGAGGGAAAGGCAGCAUAUAAGGGCAACCCAAGGCACAAAUGGCAACAGUCCCUUCAGCCUGCCAGCCAGCCAAUCCAGUGGAGUGACUGGCACCAUUUGGGGCUUUUCCUGGGCUUUAGCAGUGGGUGAGGACAGCAGCACAGUCUUCAGUGUGUGCCCUGCCCUUUCAGCACAAUGCAGAGUGCUCCUCAACCCAGUGGUUAACCUUGACG